GGCUGCAUAGUGCAAUGACUAGCACGUUCCAUUUUGACUUAUCUUUAAAAGGAGAGAUGUCGGUUCAAAUCCGACUGCGGUCC
rnacentral:tRNA from 2 species